rfam:Trichobilharzia regenti genome assembly, scaffold: TRE_scaffold0000078
ACUUAGAUGACGAGUCCCAAAUAGGACGAUAUGUACAUCCUGGAU